UCAUCUGCCAGUGGGAGCCAGGACCUGAGACCCACCUACCCACCAGCUUCACUCUGAAGAGUUUCAAGAGCCGGGGCAACUGUCAGACCCAAGGGGACUCCAUCCUGGACUGCGUGCCCAAGGACGGGCAGAGCCACUGCUGCAUCCCACGCAAACACCUGCUGUUGUACCAGAAUAUGGGCAUCUGGGUGCAGGCAGAGAAUGCGCUGGGGACCAGCAUGUCCCCACAACUGUGUCUUGAUCCCAUGGAUGUUGGUGGGUGAUGCAGGGGAGGGAGGGGAUCCCCAAAAUGGGCAGACACUGAGAGGAAUGGAGAGGGAA
rnacentral:lncRNA from 1 species